CUGGUUCUGAUAACAUUGAGAAGAAAAUUCCUACUAUUUUUGGAUUGAAUAGAUAAGAGAUUUUGUGAGUUUUGUUAAGUCAUGUGUUGUAGCUUAAUUAUACACGAAUGAUAAUUCUUGGACCUUCACUUUCUCUAUUUCAUGAUAAUAUCUGAAGCCUCUCAUGUCCUAUUUUUUUAGUUUGAUCUAAAACCCUCGGUACCUCAUAGCAAAGCUAUGUUCCCC
rnacentral:lncRNA from 1 species